rnacentral:rRNA from 1 species
UACAGAGGUCCCAAGCGUUGUUCGGAUUCACUGGGCGUAGAGGGUGCGUAGGCGGUCGGGUAAGUCUGAUGUGAAACCUCACAGCUUAACUGUGAAACUGCAUUGGAUACUAUCCGGCUCGAGGAAUGGAGGGGAGACUGGAAUACUUGGUGUAGCAGUGAAAUGCGUAGAUAUCAAGUGGAACACCAGUGGCGAAGGCGAGUCUCUGGACCAGCACUGACACUGAGGCACGAAAGCGUGGGGAGCAAACAGG